rnacentral:tRNA from 1 species
GGGUUUAUAGCUCAAUCGGUCGAGCAACAAGCUUUUAACUUGAAGGUUGCGGGUUCGAGUCCCACUAGACCC